rnacentral:lncRNA from 1 species
AUGAAGAAGGACUGGUCCCCGUGUGGACAGAACUGGGACAGCGAGGAAUUAAUCUUGUCAGUCCGCAGCAGCACCAAAGUGGUGCCACUUUGUCAAUCUGUCCAUCUUUGUCAGUUUAGUAUCCCAAGCGCUAUUGUGGAAGUGCGUGUUGUUAAGAUGAAGGGUAAGAUUCUGGGAGGUCAAGUACACAGUGUCUCUGCUGGUUGUCUGCAAUCAUCUCAGUGGCAGGGAGAAAAAGAAUGAAGUCAUCUCCAAGGCCCUCCAGAUAGACGUAAUUUUCAAAUGUUGUCUUCUGGGAGAAUAGAGUGGGAUGGACACCGAGAUUGCCAUGGUAGUAGCGGGUAACACAAGUGAGAGUCAGCGCCAUUGCUUUGAGGAACCAAAUAUAAAUUCUAAACCUGAAUUUUGGUGACACCACUCGGCUGCUGUUUCAGGCCAUUCCUUUUGUUAAACUAGUCCUCUGGUGGAGUCGAAGCCACAGUCCCUUCCGUUGUGGGUGGGGCCGUGGUUGGGAGGCAUUGCUGUGGUGUUUAGAGCCCACACAUUUUCCCCCUGCCUUUGUUACCGGGUAACUGAACACAGCGAGGUGGCCUUCAGCGCAGGUAAGCCAAAUUUCUGGUGGGGAUUUCCCUGAAUGACAGGCAGGAGGAAGCCAG